CCACUUUCCACUCUCCCGCUGGCUACUGCUCAUCAGGAGCAGGAUGGGGGUGGGGACUGUCCAAUGAUUACUCUGCGUGAUAGAUGACCAAGUGGCUGCAGUCGUGGGGGUCUACACAUCAGUGCAAGAUUGCUUGUAGCUGAUUUGAUCAAACUCUGGCUUCCUGAACUGGAAUGAAAUGCAGAUAACUCGUUAGCAAACUUUUGUGGGAAAAAAGUGCCUUGUACGAUCAGAACAAAGCUGUUUUAUAAUCAAAUUUACCAAGCUGAGAAGAGGGAGUUUCAGCAAAUGGAAGCUUCAGCUUUCUGUCACCAGGAAACACUGCGCUAUCCAGAAUCGGUAAGUGAAAAGUGGCAUUGUCCCUAAUAGAUAUCAUAUGGUGUGUGGGAGAAUUGCAAAAUACAUAUAAAUAAAGGUGGGGAUUUUUAAAAGCAGGCAGCCCCAUGGUAUAGCUUUAAAGCUGAGAAGUUACCAGGUACUUAACAAAAUGAGCAGUAUGUUACUAGUUCAGCCAAACAUAUGUAAUAGAACUAGAUCUUACUUUUUGAACAUGGUUUCCUUUUCAGUGGGGCAAAGCAUGAAAUCAAAAUGGGCUGUUUGCUUGAAUUGCUGCAUUAACUUUCCAUGGAUAGAGAUUUGCAUUCAGUCUGACAAGCAAGUUGAAAUGUGAAGAAAUACUUUCACAAUUAGUCGGUUCCUUUGCUCCCCCAUUGUGUCGGAUUUUAUCUAGACCUUUACAAAAUGAAAGUUGAAGCAGUGUACCCCCAAAAUCUGAUUGUGAACGGCAGAUCAUGGUGGUCAUAGAAUUUGUUUUGCAUUCAUGACAUGAUUUUAAGAUUGUUCUGUUUGAUUACAGUUCUGUCCUUGUUUUGAUAGAGCAAAAGGGUGCUGAUUUCCAUACAGUACAUAACAUUUUUAAGAUGGUAAUGAACAACUAACUCCUAAUGGUGUGAUACCCAUGUGUCUGCCUGUCUUUCUUUCUCUGAAGCCUGAAAUUCAGUUUUCUCAUUUUGAAUCUGAGCUGCUCCUAUUCCAGAAAAAGACAGUAAAGCUGUGCCUAUGUGUUCCAAAAGACACUGAGAUAGCAGUUUUAUAUUAGUGUGAAUGUUUGACUUCCCUGAAAUAAGAUUGCCUAAAGGUUGUACCCAACGAGCAUAUUAGGAUAGUAGGUGGCUGCUUGAUUUUUGUCUGUUUCCUUUUGGUCAGUAUAACUAAUCAUGUGAUAUAUACUUACAAAGAGUUAGAUGGAAAUAUUUUAAGUGUCAGUAAUUAUAUAGGUAUUCCUGGCAAUCUCCAUUUAUGAGUAUAAACAUGCAAUUAUGACAUGAACAGAAUUGGGCUUUGAAUUAUAAAGGUUGUAAUAUUAUUUAUUUUGCUUUAAGUAGCCCCAACUAAAUUAAAAGUUAAAUGUACAUUCUUGACUUCUUGCUCCCACUCUGUUCCUUUUGGAAUCAUAAAAUUUCCAGCUUAAAAAAAGAACGCCAUAACAGGAUACCAAAGCUGCGGGUUUCUGUUAGUUGAGUGGGCUGCAGAUGGGAAGAGAGAGAUGAAUAUGUUGGAAUCUGUAAACUGUGCCCCCUUAUACACACACUUAAAGGGUUCGAAGAUCAUUUUUCUUAGGCUAAUAGCUCCCAAGACUUCAGUUUCAAUGAAAAGACACGGCUGUGAAGUGCAAAUCUGGCUGCAAAUUUGUGCAAAUGUCACAUGUCAUUUGACUUAAUUAAGGUAUGCCCUCCUGACACACAUUAAUUUAUAGGUUUGAGAAGGAGACAGAAAAAAUCAUGAGAAAGCAUGAUAGUAUUUCUAGCUAUUUUUUAUCCUACUGUUAGUGUAUGUUCAGUGACUAAUAAUUAUUUUCACCUCUGUAUUUCAUUUAAAUGCUUGUAUAAAAAACACGGUAAUUUAAUAUUGGGCUAAAUACAUGGAGGAUAGGAAAAAGACUAUAUAAAAACUUCAGAUGUUCUUCAAACAUUUAGAAGUCACUGCCUUGAGUGAUUAAAAAUGGGAUAUAAUAUAAAUUGAAAUACUAAAUGCUAAAACAUGUGUCCCAGAAGAAUAAUCCAAAAACUUCAUCUUUAAAAUUUAGUUUGUCAUUCUUUGUUCUGAGUUUCUUAUUUUUAAGUGUACAUCUAAAAGUAUUGCUCCGCAUUCUCUCCCAGAUUUACUGAAGGCAUUAGUAUUUUGACAUGUUUGGUCUUUGUGGAUUUUCAAAACAACAAAGUGAAAGGAAGCUAUUUCUACCCAAUAGUACUACCCAAUAGUACUUGAUAAGUGUACUGUACACCUUCAAAAUUUAGUGUGUGUGUGUGUGUGUGUGUGUGUGUGUGUGUGUGUGUGUGUAAGCUUACUUUGAAGGUGGGUCUUAAAUCAACAACAGCUAUUUGUUAGAACCCAGAUAAGCUUCGGAAUGUAGUUCUCUGGCAACCGAGUAGUUAGGUAUUGAAAUGUAGCUUUAAGGUUUCAGUUCAUAAAUGGCAUUCAGAUCUCUUGCUACAGUCUCAUUGAGUAGAAGGAUAACAAGAAGGGGAAAACCAUGAAGCAUUAUAAUGAUUUCCAUUUUUUCGGGCCUUCUUGACUUGCUUUGCAUACAGGAUCACUGUGGAAGUGGGAAGCAUAGGCCUUAAAGGAAGCUGUACUUUAAUACAAAAUCAGUAUGUGAAAAAUUGGGAGAGAUAAGUACCAACAUAUGGAGUAACGAGUACAAGUCAGCUUCCACAAGGUUCUGCACACCAUUUAUCCAGGGCUGACCAGCCGUGAGAAGAACAUCUUGAACCAAUUAUUGUAGACUCUUGAAGAGCUGCAAAUGUUUCCUUCAAAUGCAAUGUGGAGAAAAUUCCUUUGGUAGCAGCAGAAUGGCUUACCAGUUUGCUAUAGCAUUUAUUUCUAUCCCUGCUCCCCUGAGAACAACUACAGAGGCUUCAGUGUUCUUAUGAGACACAGGCUUUCCAACCAACUGUUCAUUUGCCAUUUCCUAGUUUUGUCUUCUUUUUGCUAUGGAAUAAAUGGGAUUGUAUUAUUAAGCAGUCAUAAGCCCUAAGCAUUUUAUCUUACGUUCAAAAAUUACUUUUAACAUUCUUUAAAAAGAGACUAAGAGGUGUUUAUGGAAUGAAUUGGCAGGCUGAGAAUCUAGGAAACACCAUAUCAGAGCAAGAAAAUGUUUAGACUAAUAUAUACCAUAGAUUAAUUAUGCACUCUUGCAUUUUCCAUGCCUGAAGGUAUUUUCUAUUUCACAAUGGUUUUAGCAAUUUAUUUUGUCACUUGUACCUUGAGAAUUAGUGAAAAAAAAAGAUUUCAGUUGAAGUUAUUCCUUACUUCAUAAUUAGAAACCUGGCAAUUCUUCUAAAGUCCAAAUGAUUCUGACAAGUUAAAAAAAAUGUUCAUGCCACAAAGUGAUGGAAAGUUCUGACUUGACCUUAUGUGAGUCCACUUGUAGUCUUACUCACUAAGUCUGAACAGAAAUAUCAGAGAAAUAUUCAUGUACUUCUUUCUGGAAUAGAGUACCAAACUUCCCCUGGAGAUAUAUAUAUAUAUUAAAUGAUCACCCUCCUUAUAAACAUUUAUAAUAACGUGAGUGUUGGAGUGCCAGAUAAGCCUUUUUUGACUCUUGAAUUAACCUUUAUUGAACUCAUGGUAUGUGUUAGAUAUUUUUCUAAAUAUAACCCUGGCAUCUAUUCAGUGCCAACCAGUUCCUGAUAGUUACCCAGGAGAUAGGUCUUAAUAUAUAAUGCUUUACAUGUAUUAACUGUAAAACCAGUAUGAUUGUUACUUCUUUUUACUGUAGAGAAAGCAGUGCACAGAGAAGUGAAACCAAUUGCCCAAAAUGACAUAGGAAGGAAAUAAUGGAGCCAGAAUUUGCAAGCACAGAAACUAGGCUGAGUCAAAGGGGUGUGCCACCUGCUUUCUGCAUUCCUGCUUACCCUACGCCUAGUGUCAUGCGAAGGUGAUAGUGAUAUCACCACUCUGGUCAUUAACAUGGUCCACUCCUCCUCUCUGUGAAAUGUUUGUUCACAGGUUUGUUGUGGAAUGGACUAUGGGAGGUUCAGGGAUCCAAGCUCCUUCUUGAUGAGUCAACCUGGCUUUAUUAAUUGAGAAAAAUUAAGACAAAAGUAAGAACAUUGUGUUUUCAACUCCAAAGGAAUUUUUGUAUACAAUUACAAAAAGUCCUUUCAUAUUUAUUUUCUGGAACUUUAUACCCAGACAGAUCUAGGCUGUUAAGGGAGAAAGGCACACCUUAGAGGGAGUGACACUUUGACACAAGAGUCAUGCUGGGCACAGUAAGUGCCUUUGGGAAACCAGGCAGCCCAGGAAAUUGAACUGCAUGAUUGAAUCUAGAAAAGGAGACUUCUAACCAUGCUUCUCAAAAAAAGAAAAGGAAAGAUGUAUAAGGUGGCUCUCUUGUCCCUAUGUUUCUAGUCAUUAAAAAUAAGUUCUUUCUAAACUUCCCAAUUUAUGUCCCUGCUCCUCCUUUCCUACUUAGUGAUUCAGCAGUUACUUCCUGUUGGCAUGUUGUGCAGUUUAUGUCCUUGCUUGCCAUUUUAGUCAACCACUUCUGUUAUUGUUGGCUUUGAACACACUUAAAGAUUUCUGGAUCUAUAUUUUGAUCUCUGUCUUCAACUUAAUUUCCUUAUGUCCAUUUCAAAAUGCUAUUGACAAGAAAAAAUGUUGGUGACUAUUUUUUUACUGUUACAUACUAUUUUUUAUAGUAAUAGUUUUGAAAACUUAUUUCUCCUAAACAGUUUAGAUUUCAUGGUCGAAAUUUGGAGGAUAGGUGUUUUUAUUCAGAAGAAAAAAACCUAACCAGUUUUGAAUGUAGUUACUGUAUAUAUAAUUUAAAUGAUUUUCCAUUUAUUUUCUUGAUAUCAGGAAGAAUAAGAGUUAAGGAGGGUAUGCAAAGUAAUUCCAUUUUAUUAACUACUUUCAAAGAUGAGCAGCUGAAUUAGAACAUAUAUUUCAUCUAAAAUAUCUUACACUUAUCUAGUUAACUACCCUGAUUUUUUUU
ensembl:processed_transcript